rnacentral:tRNA from 1 species
UCCCUGGUGGCUCAGACGGUAAAGCGUCUGCCUGCAAUGCAGGAGACCCAGGUUCAAUCCCUGGUUUGGGAA